rnacentral:rRNA from 1 species
UACGGGGGGGGCAAGCGUUGUUCGGAUUCAUUGGGCGUAAAGGGCUCGUAGGCGGCCAACUAAGUCGGAUGUGAAAUCCCCAGGCUUAACCUGGGAACUGCAUCCGAUACUGGAUGGCUUGAAUCCGGGAGAGGGAUGCAGAAUUCCAGGUGUAGCGGUGAAAUGCGUAGAUAUCUGGAGGAAUACCGGUGGCGAAGGCGGCAUCCUGGACCGGCAUUGACGCUGAGGAGCGAAAGCUAGGGGAGCAAACGGG